UGCACAAUUAAACUAGUUUGGCAGCGUUGGUUGCAGGCGUGCAGAAGUGAAUGCUUGUACGAUUGUGAACGAACUUGUGUUUACAAAGUCGUCAGAGAAUAUUCGUUUUUAAAAUGGCAAGUUUUCCUCAAAGACAAAUGCAAGAUGAAAUGGAAAGGUUUGAAGCAGAAAUCUCUAACUCAACAUCCAAACCUAGCAUUCCCCCUCUUUUAAAACCAAACAUGGUACGACCCGCUUCUGGUACACCUGGAGCAUUUCAGCAAAAAUUCCAACCACCCACACAUUUUUUGCCAACCCAACUUCAAAGGGCUGGAGUUAGACCAGCUGCGCCAGCUUCUUCAUCUCAAACGUUUUCCUCUACCACAUCAGUACAACCUCCAAGCCAGGCUUCUAGUGUUGGAACAGCCAUUAUCAGUAACAAACCUGUUCUUUACCUUCCUGAUAAAGAAGCUAAAUCGACAUCUGCAACUCCAAAUACUGCUGCAAGUUUGACUAAAGCCCCACAACCAGCCAAAAAACAGAAAGUUGAGGCUAAAUCCCCUACUAAAGUUGCACCAAGUUCUUCGGGUGGUCCAUCUAUUUUGAGGGCUCCAUCCUCUACAGUUGGUUCAGCCACUGUUAAAGCUGGGACUGAGGAGCCCAAAGUACAAAAAAUGAAGAAACCCAAAAAAUUUGUAAGAGCAGCUGGUGGCACUGUUUGGCAAGAUGACUCCCUUCUUGAGUGGGAUCCAAACGAUUACAGAAUCUUUUGCGGAGAUCUCGGAAAUGAUGUGACUGAUGAAGUAUUAGCUCGCGUUUUCGGAAAAUUCCCAUCUUUUCAAAAAGCUAAAGUGAUCAGAGAUGCCCGUUCCAACAAAACAAAAGGCUUCGGCUUCGUUAGCUUCAAAGAUCCGACGGAUUUCACGCGAGCCAUGAGAGAAAUCAACGGCAAGUACGUGGGCAGCCGUCCCAUCAAAUUGCGCAAAAGCAAUUGGAAGAACCGCAACAUUGAUGAAGUGAAAAAGCGUCAAAAGGAGAAGGAUGUCUUACUUGGCAAGCGUCGAUGAUUGUAACUUUUUUUUUCCCCCUUCUCAAAUCGUACGUUGGUCAGUUUAUCACACCUUUGAUUUUUGAAAAUGCUGGCAGUUUGUUAGAAAAAUUGACUUACGCCGCUUCAAAUAGUGCCCUGUGGCGAAGAUUGCGAUAUGUCGCUACUAACUCAAUUUCGUGACGACGUAAGAGUUGAUUAUUUACGUGGUUGACACGACAAAAAAAGCGGGCGCGAUUGUGUGGAAUGAUUAAUUACAUAUAGGCGAUUAGAAGACUUCGUGGAAACCAUUCAUCAGGAAUCGGAAACGGCGCAAACGGACAGACUUGCUAAGAAACCAACUACUCCAUUAAGUAAUUAAAAGACAGCGAACUUUCCCCCGCUCAAGUUGCUUCGCCAAACCGGUAUUUAACUUAUUAAGGUGAUACUAUUUAGGCUGAAAGGAAGCAUAUUCGCUAACCCUCAUAAGGAAAGCUGCUUGGUCCAAAUAAAAGUUGCCUAUAGCCUUUCAUCUAAUUUUAGAGACUGACAUGUCUAACGUAAUGAAGAACGCCAUGAAACUCUAAUUGGGAGACAUGCGACGGUAAAUUGAAAUGAACGAACGUCACAUACAGCAUUUUUAAAAAGUACUAGGCAGCUGCAACUCCAAGGCGAUUCACCGGAAAACAUCGUCGACUUGAUCAAGAAGACCACGUAAAACAAAAAAAAAAAAUAUAUGUAUGAAAGUGAAAGGUUUCAAACGUCGUAACAAAAAAGAGUUCAACGAGAAGAAAAAAGGUAGAUCCCCAUUUUUAUUACCAACGCACGUCUCCGCCGAUAUUUUUGACAUUGCCGUUGCACUUGUAACUGAAUUUGCAUAAGCGACAAUCCUUCAAGAUGAAAUCGUCGAGGCAAUGGCACAGUUUGUCAGAAUUUGACAGAUUGUCGAAAUCCACCUACGCAUCAAUCCGUAGCCAUUUUUUUCUAUUACGCGUGAAAUAUCGCUAUUCGUUUUAAUGCGCUGCAUUGUUAGAGACUUAUGUAUCGUUAAAUUCACUUUUCGUGCUUAGUGUUAUGUAAUUCGCUUUGCUCUGUGGGGAAUCCAAAAAAUUUGAAACUCUCGUCAUAGAGCGACUAAACAAAAGAACAGUGUAAGGACUAUAUCGUCUGCAUUAAUUAUGGAAAAAGCUGGGAUUCUGCUUACGGCGUACGUCGCGAACGUUAUGUUCGGUGCCAUUAGAAAUGCGCUUAGCAGAGCUGGAAACAAGACUCCAAUAAUUGUUUGGUCCGUCUACGUCAGUGUCGGCUGCGGCUUACAGAGAGACGGCCUCACACAAUUCAAUCAACGAGAGUAUACUGUGACUUGGUUUUUUCCCCAUUCACUGUCGUCCUGUACAGCUGGAAGAAAAACAGUUUUUUUUAUGACAUUACGGGGAUCACAUCAGAUAAACUUGAAUUGCACCCGUGAAGAGUGAACUAUUUAUUACUGGGCAUUCGCUCUUUUGAAAUCACAAGUGGCUUUCUUUUUAUUUCGUCAGGUUAGCAUGAUCAAGAAUUUGGGUAACUAACCGACAUUUACUUUCCAUAAGGAAAAAG